UCCGCGUUUUUACGAUUUUUCAAGUUAUUUUCGGUUUAGAACUUGGUUUUUCACCCUAAGACUAUAAAUAGGUCCUCUUUUGACCUAUCUAGGGUUCCCAGCUUUAGUUUUUCAGUUCCCAACUUUAUUUUCUCAGUUUCAUAGCUUUAGAUUAUUAUUGCUUUCCAGUUUUUACAGCUUGGAUUGGAUUUCCACAAGAUUGAAGAUUCAAGCCGCUACAAU
rnacentral:lncRNA from 1 species